GGUCCUGUGGCGCAAUGGAUAACGCCGUCUGACUACGGAUCAGAAGAUUCCAGGUUCGAAUCCUGGCAGGAUCG
rnacentral:tRNA from 1 species